GACGAACGCUGGCGGCGUGCCUAAUACAUGCAAGUCGAGCGGACAGAAGGGAGCUUGCUCCCGGAAGUUAGCGGCGGACGGGUGAGUAACACGUGGGCAACCUACCCUGUAGAUCGGGAUAACAUCGAGAAAUCGGUGCUAAUACCGGAUAAUCAUUUGAAGUGCAUGCUUCGAAUGUAAAAGAUGGCUCCGGCUAUCACUACGGGAUGGGCCCGCGGCGCAUUAGCUAGUUGGUAAGGUAAUGGCUUACCAAGGCAACGAUGCGUAGCCGACCCGAGAGGGUGAUGGGCCACACUGGGGAUGAGACACGGCCCAGACGCCUACGGGAGGCAGCAGUAGGGAAUCUUCCGCAAUGGACGAAAGUCUGACGGAGCAACGCCGCGUGAGUGAUGAAGGUUUUCGGAUCGUAAAGCUCUGUUGUUAGGGAAGAACAAGUGCCGUUUGAAUAAGGCGGCACCUUGACGGUACCUAACCAGAAAGCCACGGCUAACUACGUGCCAGCAGCCGCCGCCGUAA
rnacentral:rRNA from 1 species